rnacentral:rRNA from 1 species
GAUGAACGCUGGCGGCGUGCCUAAUACAUGCAAGUCGAGCGAACGGACGAGAAGCUUGCUCCUCUGACGUUAGCGGCGGACGGGUGAGUAACACGUGGAUAACCUACCUAUAAGACUGGGAUAACUUCGGGAAACCGGAGCUAAUACCGGAUAAUAUAUUGAACCGCAUGGUUCAAUAGUGAAAGACGGUUUUGCUGUCACUUAUAGAUGGAUCCGCGCUGCAUUAGCUAGUUGGUAAGGUAACGGCUUACCAAGGCAACGAUGCGUAGCCGACCUGAGAGGGUGAUCGGCCACACUGGAACUGAGACACGGUCCAGACUCCUACGGGAGGCAGCAGUAGGGAAUCUUCCGCAAUGGGCGAAAGCCUGACGGAGCAACGCCGCGUGAGUGAUGAAGGUCUUCGGAUCGUAAAACUCUGUUAUUAGGGAAGAACAUAUGUGUAAGUAACUGUGCACGUCUUGACGGUACCUAAUCAGAAAGCCACGGCUAACUACGUG